AAGAAAGUAAAUAAGGGCGCAUGGCGGAUGCCUUGGCUCUCGGAGGCGAUGAAGGACGUGAUAAGCUGCGAUAAGCUUCGGGUAGGUGCAAAUGACCUUUGAUCCGAAGAUUUCCGAAUGGGACAACCCGGCAUUCUGAAGGAAUGUCAUCCAACUAAGUUGGAGGCUAACGCAGGGAACUGAAACAUCUUAGUACCUGCAGGAAAAGAAAAUAAAUAAUGAUUCCCCUAGUAGUGGCGAGCGAACGGGGAUUAGCCCAAACCACCCAUGUUACGGCAUGGGUGGGGUUGUAGGACCACGCUCUCGCAAGACAGUUAUUGAGAAGAAACGGCUGGAAAGUCGUGCCAUAGACGGUGAUAGCCCGGUAUUCUAAGGUAACCGAAGCGUAGUGGUAUCCUGAGUAGCGCGGAGCACGA
rnacentral:rRNA from 1 species